rnacentral:rRNA from 1 species
UACGGAGAGUGCAAACGUUGUUCGGAUUCACUGGGCGUAAAGGGCACGUAGGCGGCUCGGCAAGUCGGUCGUGGAAUCCCGACGCUUACCGUCGGAACGGCGGCCGAAAAUACCGGGCUAGAGGGCGUGAGGGGUCACUGGAACUCCUGGUGAAGCGGUGAAAUGCGUAGAUAUCAGGAGGAACGCCGGAGGCGAAAGCGAGUGACUGGCGCGUUCCUGACGCUGAGGUGCGAAAGCUAGGGGAGCAAACAGG